UCGAGCGGAAACGGCAGUAUUGAAGCUUCGGUGGAUUUACUGGACGUCGAGCGGCGGACGGGUGAGUAACGGCUGGGAACCUGCCCUGACGAGGGGGAUAACCGUUGGAAACGACGGCUAAUACCGCAUAAUGUCUUGAUUCGUUAGAGUCAGGACCAAAGGUGGCCUCUACAUGUAAGCUAUCGCGUUGGGAUGGGCCCAGUUAGGAUUAGCUAGUUGGUAAGGUAAUGGCUUACCAAGGCAACGAUCCUUAGCUGGUUUGAGAGGAUGAUCAGCCACACUGGGACUGAGACACGGCCCAGACUCCUACGGGAGGCAGCAGUGGGGAAUAUUGCACAAUGGGGGAGACCCUGAUGCAGCCAUGCCGCGUGUGUGAAGAAGGCCUUCGGGUUGUAAAGCACUUUCAGCAGUGAGGAAGGUCGUGUACUUAAUACGUGCACGGCUUGACGUUAGCUGCAGAAGAAGCACCGGCUAACUCCGUGCCAGCAGCCGCGGUAAUACGGAGGGUGCGAGCGUUAAUCGGAAUUACUGGGCGUAAAGCGCAUGCAGGCGGUUUGUUAAGUCAGAUGUGAAAGCCCGGGGCUCAACCUCGGAACCGCAUUUGAAACUGGCAGGCUAGAGUCUUGUAGAGGGGGGGUAGAAAUUUCAGGUGUAGCGGUGAAAUGCGUAGAGAUCUGAAGGAAUACCAGUGGCGAAGGCGGCCCCCUGGACAAAGACUGACGCUCAGAUGCGAAAGCGUGGGUAGCAAACAGGAUUAGAUACCCUGGUAGUCCACGCCGUANACGCUGUCUACUUGGAGGUUGAGGUUUUAGACUUUGGCUUUCGGCGCUAACGCAUUAAGUAGACCGCCUGGGGAGUACGGCCGCAAGGUUAAAACUCAAAUGAAUUGACGGGGGCCCGCACAAGCGGUGGAGCAUGUGGUUUAAUUCGAUGCAACGCGAAGAACCUUACCUACUCUUGACAUCCAGCGAAGCCUUUANAGAUAGAGGCGUGCCUUCGGGAGCGCUNAGACAGUGCUGCAUGGCUGUCGUCAGCUCGUGUUGUGAAAUGUUGGGUUAAGUCCCGCAACGAGCGCAACCCUUAUCCUUGUUUGCCAGCACNUAAUGGUGGAACUCCAGGGAGACUGCCG
rnacentral:rRNA from 1 species